GUGCUCGCUUUGGCAGCACAUAUACUAAAAUUGGAAUGAUACAAAGAAUAUUAGCAUGGCCCCUAGAAAUGUAACUAAUUUCAAAUAAAUUUGAUCAGAUGCU